AUAGGAAUGUAAAAAGAUCAAUUUCAAUUUUGCGCGUUUUCUUUCCUUUAUUUCUCUCUUUCUCUUUCUUGAGUAACGUCGCGAGAGACAAGUCACGUGAUGUUACCAGAUGCACACACACACACGCAUGCAUACAAUACAAACCGCCAAUUUCACAUCUACAAUACAUAAGUACCAGUACUACGCUAGUAGAUUUUCUUUUUAUCGGAACAUUUCAGUGCAAUUCCAAUAUGUCUGGUGCAAUCUUAAGUAAGUUUUCUCUUUUUCGUUUGCCUUCAUAUCUGAUAUUCUUCAAACCGGUCGAAGAUAUUUACUUGAAAUAUUUCGAGGAGACUGUAUGCUAUUCGUUUGUUGAGGAACUCAUUAGCUUGCACUCGCUUAAUUCCUAGUUUAUGCGCAACGAUUCCAGUCAUGAAAACAUCUUCGAGUUUAAGAACAAAUUUCACCUUGGAACAAUAACUGUCUACCCAUUCCAAAAUUGAGAUUGUUUUAAGAGUUAGAUUUGAAUAAGAAUCUAAAAACUUUCCACGUAUUAUAUCACCAUAUAUCCUUUCUUCUUUUUCAAGUUUGUCUGAUUGCAGUUCUUGCUUCCACAUGCGUAGGUGCUGACAUUAUAAUAAUAACCAAGUCCAUUUCUUUGCCAAAAUCUGGACAUCUUUCUGGUAUAGAUUAAGCGAGGUGCUUACGGAAGACAAAACUUGAGAACUAGAUGACGUAGAAAGUGUAGUGAUAAUUGUUGCAGGAUUGCUUGCAUUAUG